GAUGAACGCUGGCGGCGUGCUUAACACAUGCAAGUCGAACGGAAAGGCUCCUGCUUGCUGGGGUCCUCGAGUGGCGAACGGGUGAGUAACACGUGGGUGAUCUGCCCUGCACUUCGGGAUAAGCCUGGGAAACUGGGUCUAAUACCGGAUAGGACCACAUUUUGGAUGGUGUGGUGGAAAGUUUUUCGGUGUGGGAUGAGCUCGCGGCCUAUCAGCUUGUUGGUGGGGUAAUGGCCUACCAAGGCGUCGACGGGUAGCCGGCCUGAGAGGGUGUACGGCCACAUUGGUACUGAGAUACGGACCAGACUCCUACGGGAGGCAGCAGUGGGGAAUAUUGCACAAUGGGCGCAAGCCUGAUGCAGCGACGCCGCGUGGGGGAUGACGGCCUUCGGGUUGUAAACUCCUUUCGCUAGGGACGAAGCGCUAGUGACGGUACCUGGAGAAGAAGCACCGGCUAACUACGUG
rnacentral:rRNA from 1 species